UUACAGUCAAAUCAUAAUGAACACAGCGGUUCUAGUUUGAUCACCGAAGUUAAGUAUCAUAGAGCCAGGUCAGUACUUAGACGAGAGACUGCUUGGGAACACCUGGUACUGUAAG